rnacentral:rRNA from 1 species
UACGUAGGCAGCAAGCGUUGUUCGGAGUUACUGGGCGUAAAGAGUGCGUAGGUGGUGCCCUAAGUCUGUUGUGAAAUCUCCCGGCUUAACUGGGAGGGUGCGGUGGAAACUGGGGUGCUUGAGUGUGGGAGAGGUAAGCGGAAUUCCUGGUGUAGCGGUGAAAUGCGUAGAGAUGUGGAGGAACACCAGUGGCGAAGGCGACAUCCUGGACUGGUCCUGACACUCAGGAGCGAAAGCGUGGGGAGCGAUCCGG